rnacentral:tRNA from 1 species
GGCAAGAUAGCUCAGUGGUUAGAGCGCGAAUUUACGGACCGUAAGGUCCGUGGUUCGAAUCUGACUUUUGCCU